UACGUAGGGUGCGAGCGUUAAUCGGAAUUACUGGGCGUAAAGCGUGCGCAGGCGGUUUUGUAAGCCAGAUGUGAAAUCCCCGGGCUUAACCUGGGAAUGGCAUUUGGGACUGCAAGGCUGGAGUGCGGCAGAGGAGACUGGAAUUCCUGGUGUAGCAGUGAAAUGCGUAGAUAUCAGGAGGAACACCGAUGGCGAAGGCAGGUCUCUGGGCUGACACUGACGCUCAUGCACGAAAGCGUGGGAGCAACAGGAUAGAAACCGUAGUGAGAUC
rnacentral:rRNA from 1 species